AGUUGGUUAGAGCGCCNGGUUAGAAUGCCAGCCUGUCACGCUGGAGGUCGAGGGUUCGAGCCCCUUCCAGGUC
rnacentral:tRNA from 1 species